CUUCACCGAGCCCAGCCACAGCGGUCGUUCGCGGUCCUGGCCGUAGGUGGCGAUGAGCGCCUGCGCCUC
rfam:Amycolatopsis australiensis strain DSM 44671 genome assembly, contig: Ga0074771_106